rnacentral:hammerhead_ribozyme from 1 species
GCACUACCGAGGAGUCCCACAAUAGAACGAAAAGGCCUUCUAGUGC